rnacentral:misc_RNA from 1 species
UUAAGUUCAGGGGGUAUCCCUACCUGAUGUUAGGUCAAUGAGAGCUUGUAAAUUGUUCAUUAGGCAGCUUCUUCAACUUGCUUCAACGAGAGUUACUUUACUACGUCCUACAAGGUGAAAAUGUAUCGCCCAUUACUUAUAGGAAAGAGGAAUCAAUAUAACCACUUUUCCCAAUACUGUCAUUAUUGGCACUUAGCCGU